rnacentral:rRNA from 1 species
UACGGAGGGUGCAAGCGUUAUCCGGAUUUACUGGGUUUAAAGGGUGUGUAGGCGGGCUAUUAAAUCAGUGGUGAAAUCUCCGGGCUCAACCCGGAAACUGCCAUUGAUACUAUUAGUCUUGAAUUUUGAUUGAGGUAGGCGGAAUAAGUCAUGUAGCGGUGAAAUGCAUAGAUAUGACUUAGAACACCAAUUGCGAAGGCAGCUUACUAAGCAAAUAUUGACGCUGAGGCACGAAAGCGUGGGGAUCAAACAGG